GAAAAAUUUCGCCUUGCGCUCGGCUCACACUCUCGCACUCUCACAUAGUCCACCACUCUACGCUACUCCUGAAUGCUCUCUCGUUCUAUGUGUUGGAAAUUCACACUUGUGGUAGAAGGUUUACCAGACAGAUCACAGUGUUUUUGGUGAAAUAAACUUUACCGUGUGGAACGAGUUUAAGUGUAUUCGCAUGCGCGAAAGUGUUUGAUCGUACUAGUGCAGUGAACCAAAUAGUCGUACAAAUUUCACUGUUAGUUAAACGCAAUCAAUAUUUUGUUUUGAUCGACC